rnacentral:rRNA from 1 species
GUACACUCCUACGGGAGGCAGCAGUGGGGAAUUUUGGACAAUGGGCGAAAGCCUGAUCCAGCAAUGCCGCGUGUGUGAAGAAGGCCUUCGGGUUGUAAAGCACUUUUGUCCGGAAAGAAAUCCUUGGCUCUAAUACAGUCGGGGGAUGACGGUACCGGAAGAAUAAGCACCGGCUAACUACGUGCCAGCAGCCGCGGUAAUACGUAGGGUGCGAGCGUUAAUCGGAAUUACUGGGCGUAAAGCGUGCGCAGGCGGUUUGCUAAGACCGAUGUGAAAUCCCCGGGCUCAACCUGGGAACUGCAUUGGUGACUGGCAGGCUAGAGUAUGGCAGAGGGGGGUAGAAUUCCACGUGUAGCAGUGAAAUGCGUAGAGAUGUGGAGGAAUACCGAUGGCGAAGGCAGCCCCCUGGGCCAAUACUGACGCUCAUGCACGAAAGCGUGGGGAGCAAACAGGAUUAGAUACCCCUGUAGUCCCAUGAU